rnacentral:tRNA from 1 species
GCUUUCAAAGGAUAACAGCUCAUCCGUUGGUCUUAGGAACCAAAAACUCUUGGUGCAAAUCCAAGGGAAAGCU